rnacentral:tRNA from 11 species
GGGGCCUUAGCUCAGUUGGUAGAGCGCCUGCUUUGCAAGCAGGAUGUCAGGAGUUCGAAUCUCCUAGGCUCCACCC